UGGAAAUAUCAUUCUCAAAUCAACAAAUAACCUAAACUAAACUAACUAAAAAUAUGUAUAGCUUCAAUAUUUAGAAUCUCCCUGGUCGUCGUGAAACCUUUAGCUUCGGGAUAGCCAUUGUUUACAGGAGUGAUAGACAUGGCAACUAAGGAAAAGGCAAAGAAGGGAGGAAAGGAUUCAGAUAAAAAGAACAAAAAAAUUGAAGAUGAAGACAAAAAGAUAGAAAAAGCAGCCACAGAAAAUCUUGGCACAAUAGAUGAGAACGUAAUUGUGAUUGAGCAAGAAGUAUCACCCCAGGAAUCAACUCAGCCGCUACCGGUGCAGGAGCCAGUGAUUGCGGUUAACGAAUAUGAAGAACCCGUACUUGCAGAGCUGAUUAUUGAAAGCUAUGAAGGUGAAAAAGUAAAAGGACUUUAUGAUGGUUUAGCAGUUGCUCGUUUCAAAGACAAGCACACAUAUGAGGGUCAGUUUUCAGAGGGUCUUAUGCAUGGCAAAGGCAAAUACACUUGGGCUGAUGGUGUGAUUUAUGAGGGUGACUUCUUUCGAAAUGUUGUGACUGGAAAGGGCUUAUAUCUGUGGCCAGAUGGCAGCUGUUAUGAAGGAGAUGUUGUUCAGGGGAAGAGACAUGGGCAAGGAGAGUUUCGGUGGAAAGACAAUGUCAUGUCAUACAGUGGUGACUGGAAUCAGGGUUUUCGACAUGGAAAGGGUAGAAUGAGUUAUGAUGUUACAGGAAAAUCCUUUUAUGAUGGUGACUGGGUGAUGAAUCUUCGACAUGGCUGGGGUGUACGUCAAUAUGCUUCUGAAAAUGUGUAUGAAGGAAUGUGGUUCAACAAUGCUCGCCAUGGACAAGGCACAAUGAAAUGGGCUGAUAAAGAUCAGAUCUACACUGGUCAGUGGGAGAAUGGCAUUCAGCAUGGUUUGGGGCAGCAUACUUGGAUUCUUCGACGAGUUCCUGGUUCACAGUAUUCUAUGCGUAAUGUGUAUGAUGGCGAGUUUGUCAAUGGCCUUAGACAUGGCUAUGGUACCUUUCACUAUGCCAAUGGUGCUUCAUAUUCUGGAUACUGGAACAACAACAUGAAACAUGGAAAGGGCAAGUUCCUAUUCAAGAAUGGGCGGAUCUAUGAGGGCAUGUUUGAACAUGAUCAUAUUGUAGAAUACCCUGACUUUAGAAUGAACGGCACCACCACUCCAGACAUUUCUGGUAUCAGAACAAGAACUCCUCUUCCUUCAGAUGAUGUGUCUAUACAAAGCAAUGAGAGCCGCAACACAAUCACCCCAAAUUUCCAGUUGGAAAUCGAUGCUUUGCUUAGCGAGUUCCCCGAGGAUGACCAAGAAGAAGAAAUUAAUCAUGUUUUGGUUGUGAUUACACGCCAUGUUAGCAGUCUCCGUAAAAUUUACCAGUUUUACAGUCGGCUAGGAUUUGAAGAAAGCCUUGAUAAUACUUUCUCACUGUCACGCAUGCAGUUCUGGCGUUUUGCCAAAGACUGUCAUUUUCACCAUAGUGGCAAAACACUAAUGGAAAUGGAUCGCUACAUUGGCAAAUGCUACAACAAAGCCACCUUUGAACUUCAUAAUCCCUUUGAGCGCAUACUAAUGCGCCAGUUUAUCAACUGCUUGGUACUUCUUGCAUACCAGAUAUAUGGAGACCAAUUUCAAGACUCAGCUCCAGUCCUUGCAAACUGUCUGUCUACACUGAUCACAGAAAAUAUUCUUCGCCAUGCCUGCAAUGUCCAAGGACGCUUCUUUUAUGAGCCAAGACGGUCUAUCCAAGCUUUGAUUUAUGUGGACCAAAGCUAUGAGAUCUUCCAAUGCCUUUGCCACCCAAGAAAGCACUUACCAAAGGAACCAGCUUUCAAAAUGAGAGAGUUUUUGUUUCUGAUGAAGGAUCUGAAGCUGAUGAACAAUGACCUUACACCCCAGCAUGUCAUUAAGGUGUUGUCAAGUGAAGAUCCAGCCGUUGUGGAUGGAGAUGGCUUUUACAACCUUGAGCUUGAGAUGACAUUCCUGGAGUUUUUUGAGGCUCUGAUUGGUUGUGCUGAGAUUUAUGCUACUGAAGCCUUAGUGAAGGACCCAAUUACCCCUCGUCCCUCAACAGCGAUGACACACUCUGUCUAUUCGGUGCCAGCUUGUCCCUCACGUGUUGCCAGUCAUGCUGGAAUGGAGCAAGAAUUGGGAGAUACAAAUGCUCUUCAAACUCCACACGAAAAAGCAGCAAGUCCACCUUUUAGUGAAACGCCCCGUGCUCCAUCUUCCAAUGCAGGCACAGUGAAGACUACAAAAGGAGGCUCUGCAAAGAGCAAGAAACUACCCGUGUUGAAUUUUUGCAUGCAUAGCCUGCAACUAAACCAACAACAAAAGCAGCAGCAGCUGCAGGGGCGGCGACGGCAGCAACAUCAGCAGCAACAAAAGCAGAUAAGACAGGUGUUGAGUCCUCUAAUCAGCAAGACAGUAACAGAGAUCAAGCAGGGGAGCUGACGAGUGUUUCUGUUGCCAGUGGUCACACCAACAACACAGAAGAUCAACAAACACUGAUGCAAAGCUUAAUCUCCAUGGGAGGACUACGUGAUGCUGGAGAAUUUGAGGAGGGUUUAGCUGAUCAUGCAGGUGAAGGUCAACUUGACCUUCAAUGUGUGGAAGAAGAACUGGAUCCAGACACACGGAAGUUUAACUUCUGGACACACCAGGUCCAUGUAUUCUUCCAUAUGAAGUUUUUGAAAGCAGCUCA
rnacentral:misc_RNA from 1 species